AUUGAACGCUGGCGGCAGGCCUAACACAUGCAAGUCGAGCGGAGCGGCGGACGGGUGAGUAAUGCCUAGGAAUCUGCCUGGUUGUGGGGGAUAACGUCCGGCAACGGGCGCGAAUAUCGCAUACUAUCAGAUGAGCCUAGGUCGGAUUAGGUAGUUGGUGGGGUAAAGGCCUACCAAGGCGACGAUCCUGAACUGGUCUGAGAGGAUGAUCAGUCAAACUGGAACUGAUACACGGUCCAGACUCCUACGGGAGGAAGAAGUGGGGAAUAUUGGACAAUGGGCGAAAGCCUGAUCCAGCCAUGCCGCGUGUGUGAAGAAGGUCUUCGGAUGGUAAAGCACUUUAAGUUGGGAGGCGUUACCAACAGAAUAAGCACCGGCUAACUUCGUGCCAGCAGCCGCGGUAAUUC
rnacentral:rRNA from 1 species